UAGGGAAUCUUCGGCAAUGGACGGAAGUCUGACCGAGCAACGCCGCGGGAGUGAAGAAGGUUUUCGGAUCGUAAAGCUCUGUUGUUAGAGAAGAACGAUGGUAGGAGUGGAAAAUCUACCAAGUGACGGUAACUAACCAGAAAGGGACGGCUAACUACGUGCCAGCAGCCGCGGUAAUACGUAGGUCCCGAGCGUUGUCCGGAUUUAUUGGGCGUAAAGCGAGCGCAGGCGGUUCUUUAAGUCUGAAGUUAAAGGCAGUGGCUUAACCAUUGUACGCUUUGGAAACUGGAGGACUUGAGUGCAGAAGGGGAGGGUGGAAUUCCAUGUGUAGCGGUGAAAUGCGUAGAUAUAUGGAGGAACACCGGUGGCGAAAGCGGCUCUCUGGUCUGUAACUGACGCUGAGGCUCGAAAGCGUGGGGAGCAAACAGG
rnacentral:rRNA from 1 species